rfam:Streptomyces sp. CB01580 scaffold1, whole genome shotgun sequence.
AGCUCGUCCGGGUCCACGGCCCGCGAGGUGAGCAGGUAGUCGCGCAUCACGAUCCCGUGCCGGCCCUC